ACCUUUUUUUUCUCCCCGUCUCUUUAGCAGACGACGGCCAGUGAAUGUAAUCCGCAUCAUUAUAGGGGACUGGUCAGACGUCGCAUGCUCCCUGCCACCAUGCGGGCGCGGGCAUUUAGGGGGUGCAAACAGUCGACAGAUACCAGCCACACCAGAUACGUCGAGCUAUGUAGGAACACGAGAGUAUACUCUAGCUAUGCUCCCAACGCGUUUCGAGCUCUGGCAUAUUGUCGACCCGCAAGCGGCCGUGAAUCACUUGUUUUUUUGAGUUGGUCAAGGCUCUCAAUGAACCCCUGAGAUCUCCCUAACCCACGCAAGUAGAACGAGACCUCUCUGUGUAUAGCGGCGCACGGGUGAGUCACGGGUGUGAACCAGCGUUGUUGAUGCGCACAACGGUGGGAAUUGACCGCUAAUAACCAAUAAGCCGAGAGGUAAAACAGAAUCUACCCGAAGAGGGGCUCGGGUUUUAUUAGCUAGUUGUUGGGGUAAGAGCUUCCCAAGGCAGCGAUCAGUAGAUGGUGUGAGAAGAAGAGCAGCCACACUGCCUCUGAGACACGGCCCAGACUCGUACGUGAGGCAGCAGUGAGGAAUUUUCCGCAAUGGGUGAAAGCCUGACGGAGCAAGACCGUCUGAGGGAGGAAGGCCUUUGGGUUUUAAACCUCUUUUCUCAGGGAAGAAGCAAGUGACGGUACCUGAGGAAUCAGCCUCGGCUAACUCCGUGCCAGCAGCCGCGGUAAUACGGAGGAGGCAAGCGUUAUCCGGAAUUAUUGGGGGUAAAGCGUCCGCAGGUGGUGAUUCAAGUCCCCUGUCAAAGACCGGGGCUCAACCCUGGGCCGGCAGUCCAAAAUGAAGCACUAGAGUUCGGUAGGGGUAGAGGGAAUUCCCAGUGUAGCGGUGAAAUGCGUAGAGAUUGGGAAGAACACCAGUGGCGAAAGCGCUCUACUGGGCCGAGACUGACACUCAGCUACGAAAGCUAGGGGAGCGAAAGGGAUUAGAUACCCCUGUAGUCCUAGCCGAAACGAUGAACAGCGCGUGGAUCUAACUCGCU
rnacentral:rRNA from 1 species